GGCUGCGGUGGUCUCACGGCCUUAAUUUAUAUUUAUAAUUUUCUUCUUUAGAGGAAAAUAAAAAAAUAAUAAAAAAGGGAAAAAAUUCAAGAGAUUUACUAUUGAAACACAUGUAUGGAUCCGAUGGUAUUGCGCUCGAAUUGUUUGAUGGUGUUGGCCAGCUUCGUCAUGUUGUCGUCAUAAACGUAAGGGAGCUUAUCGAACCAGGUGACAUUGUUCUUGGCGGAGAUAGGGAGGAAUUCACGGCAAGGCUCACCCUGUACUGAUAUGGAAUUGUGGUAGUGAUAGUAUCGGAUCUUGGUUUCGGUCUUGUGUAGUGUCUUCCCAAUUACAUUCUCAGACAUGUGUACUCCCGUGGAGUAUGCGUUCUUCGCCUGUAUUGCGUACUUUCUAUCUCGCCGGAUUCUGGUUCGUGAAUCUCUGAACAGCAGCUUCUCGAAUCCCCAUUCCCUGUUUUAAUUACCAAAAACAUUAUCACCACUACCACCCAAUGAGGGAAAAAGAAGAAGUUUAUGAACGGGAAAUGUUGGGACCGUAUGGGUUUCCAGAAAGGAAAGGAAAGUGAAAGAACUGGAUGCCCCAAAUGCAAGGAAUGAAAUUCAGUAAGCUAGAGAUCUAAAGAAUAUUCCAGUGCCAAAAGGGUGCAGAAAUCGAGAUCCAUCCUCAAUUAUGGGUUGGGAAUGAAAAGGGAAGGAAGCAUUGUGAGGAAUUUCAUACCUUGAAUAGUUGCGGGAGGAGUCGUUCAAGCAAAGCACACUGGACAUUGGAUUCUGCUCAAUGGUGAACUGGGUAUAAUCGGAGAAUUCCUCCAUAACGGACUCCAGAGUCCUGCCGUCAGGCAAGUAUAUAUACUCAUCCACGUCGAAGUAGAAUGUCCAGUUGGCAGCGUGUCGGUAACGAUGGAGACAGUCGUUCACCACCAAAAAUUGGUUGUAGUAAUAGCCGUCGAACUCCGCCUGGCCUCUGAUAUCUUGAAUCGUAGCCCACCCAGCUCGCACCCAGGGCUCCAGCGCUGCCCUCACCGCCGGCGACACCCCACCCGCAUCGUGAAACACAAAAUGUGAUUUGGGUCCGAAGAACCACGCAUGAUACGCCAUCCACUCCCGUAUCCUCGCCGCGCUCAGGCUUCCGUACAAAGAUGACCCGCAGUACAGAUACUCAUAUUGAUACGGCGGGCGGUAAUUGGACUCAUUGUAGGACCCUGGUUGUUCCUCCAAGACCGUGAACUUCUCGAAUUUCCUCGGCGACUCGCCAUAGUAGGCACGGAGGACAAGCUUCCCACCAGCGUUGUCCUCGUUUGGGUUUUCAGCGAAUGUGCAGUUCACCACAACCACCGUGUACACCCGACCGUAGCCCCAAUCGGGAAGCAUUUUGUAGGCUUUGGCCCUCAAGGAAGCUGAACCAUUGCUAGAGAUCCACUCGCAUUUGUACCAAGGACGGCCGUAGACGUGAAGAGGCUUGGAAGCCAGACCCACAACAGCGAAUGUCCGAGGACCGCCGCGGUAAGCUCCCAUUAACACGAAGAGAGAGGCCGCGUUGCCGUAGGCGUAGAAGAGGCGCUUGUUAGGGUCUGCGUUGGAGCUGGCCUUUGGAGUGGAGACCUUUUUUUCAGAGACGGAGGAGGAUGAGGGCGGUGUAUACGGGAGGAUGGAUGCAUUACCGGUGGCGAUGGUGGUGGAGGUGGCGGUGGCGGCGGCGGCGGUGGCGGAACAGCGGCUGGUGGUGGAGAUGAGGUUUUCGUAGUAGGGCUGGAGAUUCCAGAUGACCAUGACAAGGGUGAGGGCCAGUAAUGUGGCAACCAGGGGCUUAGUUUCGAAACAUAGGAAUAAUUUGCCGACGGAGUUGCCGGGGACGGUAGCCGGUGAGGCGUCUUUCCU
rnacentral:lncRNA from 1 species